CGCGCUACCGGAGACCAGGAGGAGCUCCCCUGCGGGUGUUCCUCACAGGGCGCAGAGUUUUACUGGUAUUAAAUAUGUGAAAGUUCUGGCCAUCUAUUUUCAGUCUGGCCUGUGAUCACAGAUUUGGUACUUCUGGAUGUGGGGAUUGGAUGGAUCAUGGCUGAUCGUGAAAGUUAAGAGUUUUUGAUUCCCAAUUCCAAGUUUGAUCUCCUGUUUUGCUAAAGCACAUUCUCCAAGAGGGGUUGCAAGGCAGUUCU